UAGGGAAUCUUCCACAAUGGACGCAAGUCUGAUGGAGCAACGCCGCGUGAGUGAAGAAGGCUUUCGGGUCGUAAAACUCUGUUGUUGGAGAAGAAUGGUCGGCAGAGUAACUGUUGCCGGCGUGACGGUAUCCAACCAGAAAGCCACGGCUAACUACGUGCCAGCAGCCGCGGUAAUACGUAGGUGGCAAGCGUUAUCCGGAUUUAUUGGGCGUAAAGCGAGCGCAGGCGGUUUUUUAAGUCUGAUGUGAAAGCCCUCGGCUUAACCGAGGAAGCGCAUCGGAAACUGGGAAACUUGAGUGCAGAAGAGGACAGUGGAACUCCAUGUGUAGCGGUGAAAUGCGUAGAUAUAUGGAAGAACACCAGUGGCGAAGGCGGCUGUCUGGUCUGUAACUGACGCUGAGGCUCGAAAGCAUGGGUAGCGAACAGGAUUAGAUACCCUGGUAGUCCAUGCCGUAAACGAUGAAUGCUAGGUGUUGGAGGGUUUUCCGCCCUUCAGUGCCGCGGCUAACGCAUUAAGCAUUCCGCCUGGGGAGUACGACCGCAAGGUUGAAAC
rnacentral:rRNA from 1 species